AUAAUAUCAGUACUGCUGAGAAUUAUAUUAUUAUUAUUCUGUAAAUGAUUCUCAUCGAAAUAUUGACAAGAAUUUUCGUGAAGAAGGUUUAAGGCAAAUGUCGACUAGCUUAAUUUUGCAAUUUUGUCAAAAAUGAAGGCAGAUAAGAUCGAUUUUCGAUGACUGAGUGAAAUUAGAAAUUGAUAGUCAUUAAUUUUUAGGAUCUGCUAAUAAAGAUAUCAAUAAAAUACUACAAUUUUUAAUUGAAAAUCCGAACGAGGUGCAAAACGUACUUCACUUCUGCAAAAACAUGGAACCACAUUGGAACAACCAUUGCCACUCCUACACAAAAGAGAAUGCCCUUGCUCUAUUUGUCUCCUUAGGUCUGUCAAAACAGCAAUACAUUAACAUUAGAAAAUCAGCACAAGUUGAACAUUGUAACAUUUAUCCGUCCUACUAUCAGAUCCAGCAAGCGAAACAAGAAUAUUUCCCUCCAAAGUGUUCAAUAAUGGUCACUGAUACAUUUGCAAAAAUAACUCUACGAUCUUUACUGGAUACUACCGCAAGAAGAAUUUUGGAUAUUUCAGAUUGCCGUAAUAAAAUUGAAUGCAAUAGCGAGCUUACGCUCUUUGGAAAAUGUGGUUUUGAUGGUGCAUCAGGACAAAGCGUGUAUAAACAAACCUUUGAUACGAUGAAUGUCAAUGACUCUAGUAUUUUUAUGUUAGCUAACGUUCCAUUAAGGCUAGUUCAUUCCAAUGACCGUACAAAGGUUAUAUCGAAAAAAAUCCAAAACAUUCAUCAAUAUUUUGUUGCAGACCGCUUUGCUUUCAACUUGUAAAAGAAUACAAGGAAAUUAUUUUACGGUGUUCGAAGUCCUUGAAUUAAGAAAAAGCCAUGCUUACCACAACAUUUUUUUCUGGUGGUGUUUCUAUCAAACAUGAAAUUUUUACAACCAUGAUUGAUGGAAAAAUUUGUUCGUGUUUAGCGGGCGCGUCAACAAUGGUCUGUUACAUAUGCAGAGCAAAGCCUAGUGAAAUGAACAAUAUGGAGGUCAUCGAGAAAAAAAUUCCGGACAAGUACGCUUUGGGGCUUUCUACUCUUCACUCUUGGAUCAGAGCUUUAGAAUGUGUGCUCCACAUAUCCUACAAUUUAGAUUUUAAAAAAUGGUCUGCAAGAACUCCCCAAGACAAACAACAAAAGGAAACAAGGAAAAAAGAAAUUCAAAAAAGAUUUAAGGAGGAAAUGGGUCUAUACGUGGAUUUUGUAAACCAAGGGCUAGGUACGUCAAACGAUGGAAACACAGCAAGAAGACUUUUUUAAAAAUUUUGAAAAAUCUGCCGAUAUAACCGGCAUAGAUCAAACUUUAUUAAAAAAGUUUUACAUUAUUCUACAAGUAUUAGCGUCUGGAGAAAAUAUUAUUCCAGAAAGAUUUGAUAAGUUUGCCAAGGAAACAGCUAAAUUCUAUAUAGAGUUGUAUGGAUGGUAGUAUAAUAUUAUAAAUGCCGGCAUCUAUACACAAACUUCUCAUGCAUGGAGCCGACAUAAUAAGAAAUUUUAUAUUCCCUAUAGGUAACCUUUCAGAAGAAGCAGCAGAUGCGAGGAAUAAAUAUUUUUGCCAUUACAGAGAGUUCCACGCAAAAAAAAGUAGUAGGAUAUUUACAAACGAAGAUAUUUUACAUAAUCUAAUUCUCUCAUCAGAUCCAUUCAUAUCUACCAUAAGAUUAAAAUCUGAUAACAAAAAACUAACUAUCAUGAUAGAAGAGGCUCUUUCCUUGAUUAAUAUGAAAACUAAAUUUAUUUAGAUAGUUUCUUGUUAUUUGUUUGUUGUUAUGUUAUGAGAAUAAUAGGUAUGGUAUACUUUAGGUAAAAAUGUAAAUUGUCUUUGUCAAUUCUCUCUAUUCUGAUUGAACAUCAAAACCAGUGAGUGAGUGCUAGUUAUUAAACUCUUGCUCUUGGAAGAAAUAAUAAAAUAUUAACUCUUCAUAUG